GCUCUUUUGUAUGCAGGACUUGGUACUGAUACUCUAGAAUACACAUCAAAUGGGCGCUACAUGAUAGUAGGUGGACGAAAAGUGCAUAUUGCAAUGGUGGAUAUGUGGAGUAUGGAACUCAUCAAGGAAUUUCAGGUCAACUUUUCGUAUUAA
rnacentral:rRNA from 1 species